CAAUUAUAGGAAGUUUCUUAUUAAUAUUACAUCAGCCUUCUUUCUCACUAUUAAGGCAAGACAGCGACAAGAAGGGACAGAGCAUAUUCCUGGGAAAGCCACUUUCAACAUUGGAAGUCUUUCUGCUUCUUCCCCGAUGAACCAAUUCUUCGGUCACGUCGACACCGUCACCCACCGUUACGCAAACUUGCAUGCGCCGCCAAUCUCCUACAACCACUUCACCACCACCACCACCUCCUCUUCCUCCUCGCCUUCUUCCGACAUGGAAGCCUCAAUCGCGGCCGUGGAGAGGAUCCUCAACUACAGUUUUCGAAACAAACGCCUCCUCGAAGAAGCGUUGACUCACUCUUCUUACUCCGAUUCGACGUCGUAUCAACGACUCGAGUUCGUCGGCGACGCUGCGCUGGGGCUGGCCCUCACUAACCACGUCUUCUUGGCUUACCCGGAGCUUGACCCUGGGCUGCUUUCGUUGAUCCGGGCAGCGAAUAUAAGUACCGAGAAACUCGCCCGCGUUGCCAUCAAACACCGGCUUUUCCAGUUCGUACGGCACAAUGCCACUAGUCUCGAGGAUAAGGUCAGGGAGUUUGCUAAGGUGGUUAGUCAAGAAGAUGAUCCAGUGUCAUAUGGUGGAUCCAUGAAAGCACCAAAGGUCCUAGCUGAUAUUGUAGAGUCUGUGGCAGCUGCUGUUUAUGUUGACGUCAAUUUUGAUCUAUCAAAACUGUGGGUGAUCAUUAGAGGUUUAUUGGAGCCUAUAGUGACAUUAGAGGAUUUGCAGCAACAGCCCCAACCCGUGACGGUGUUGUUUGAGUUUUGCCAAAAGCAAGGGAAGCAUGUUGAUAUAAAGCACUGGAAGAAAGGGUUGAGAAAUGUUGCUAGUGUUUAUGUCGAUGGAAGUUUCGUUGCUUCUGGUUCUUCUGAGCAGAAGGACAUUGCAAAGCUUAAUGCAGCAAGGGGAGCCUUGCAUAAGUUGUUGCAAUCCAUGCCUGUUGAUGUAAAUCCAUUUGGAAUCGGUGGGAUUAACGGGUCUUUUGAGAUUGAUGGAGCAAAACAGAAGUUGCAUGAGCUCUGUGGCAAGAAAAAGUGGCCUAAGCCUAUUUAUGAAUCCUCAUUUAGAGAUCCCUUAUAUGCACUAGGGUGCAUAUGCAAGCAAUAUACAAAUAGAUGUUUAGAAGGCAUUUGCAAAGCAAGAUACAAGCAAUUCUCGGUGGCCUGACAGUGUAUCAAAUAUUAAUCUUUCUCGAUGUUGUAGUGCAUCUUAGAGUAGUCCUUUGCUGGUUUUCUUUGAACAUUAAUGACUUCUUAUGAUCAGGCAUGAGGCGACUUAAAAAGCCAGAUAAGUGUGUCUGGUAUCUUUGAAGGUUCUGGGUUGCAAGAUAGAAAUUCAUGUAGGAUACUCAGAGAAGUUGCCUGUAUUGUAAUUGUCACUAUGCAAUUUUGAAUGACAAUACUCGAGAAAGAUGAAGGUCGCCCGCAUGAGAAGAUAUUUGUAUCUUCAGUUAAAAUUCCAACUGUAGAUGGUGCACUAUAUAUCACAGGGGAUGAAAAGUCCAGAGUAAAAGAAGCAGAGAACUCUGCAGCUUCCUUCAUGAUUCGAGCCCUCCAAGAAUCUGGCUAUCUGUGAUUGUGCCCUCUCCUCACUUCACCGCAAUCUGUAUCAUAUCUCUAAUAAGAGGUAAAAUCUUGUUGUAUGUUGUAGCAUCCAACCAUAAAGAAAAAGAUUCAAUCUUCAAAUGUAUCUGCAUCUCUCUAGCUUAAUUUGAAGCUCACCAAGAUGUAGAUGACUGUCAGGAUAGAUGGCUUUAGAAAGCCAACAAUGAUGAUCUCUGCUUGUUUGCUGUAACUGGAAACACAUUCCUUUGUAGAAUCUCAUGAACACAAACUUGUUGUUGUUCUUGAUUAGAUUGUCUUUGAGGAUUAAGAAUGAUACCAGGUAAUCCUCCAAGGUAGUGAGUGUCACCUUGAUUUUCAAAUUCUCUCUCCUGAAAUCCCUCAAGGGAUGAUGAUUCUUGUAAUAAUACAAUCUUUCAAGUUCUCAUGCAUGCUUUAUUUAUUA